rnacentral:rRNA from 1 species
GAUGAACGCUGGCGGCGUGCCUAACACAUGCAAGUCGAGCGAAGCGGGGACGGGUGAGUAACACGUGGAAAACCUCCGAUAAGGCUGGGGAAACUUUGGGAAACCGUAGUUAAACGCGAUACUUCUAGAUGGAUCCGCGCGGCAUUAGCUGGUAGGUAAGGUAACGGCUCACCAAGGCAACGAUGCAUAGCCGGACUGAGAGGAUGAUCGGCCACACUGGAACUGAGACACGGUCCAGACUCCUACGGGAGGCAGCAGUAGGGAAUAUUCCGCAAUGGGCGAAAGCCUGACGGAGCAACGCCGCGUGUGUGAGGAAGGUCUUCGGGUCGUAAAGUUCUGUUAGUAGGGAAGCGGUACCUAAACAGAAAGCCACGGCUAACUACGUGCCAGCAGCCGCGGUAAUUC